AUAAAGGUAACGAAACAUACAUACAACACACUAAUUUAAAAAUGAUAAUUGCAAUAUUUUGAUACCUGAAUAGCUCGAAGAUUAAUUAUAUGCGAAAUUCAUUGCUCAAUAGAAUUCUAACAUAAAAAUAUACAUUUUAUAGAAGAUAAUCUACCGGUGUUUAAUAAUUACGUAGAAAUACAGCCGUGUCACUACAUGCAUAAUGGAACAGACUAUCAAGAAGACUAUUUCCUCUGGCUCGUUAAAAAACUAAAUAGUUUUUAUUGAAACAUUACGUUUUAGAGAUAAGAGUAUGUAGAUUCAAACGUACAUAGUGUUAUAUAAUCUCAUUUUCAAUUGACUUCGAAAAAGGAAGAGGUUACUUAAUUCGACAUGUAUAUUAUUUUUAUUUCUUUUACUUUACAUAUGAAAGGUAUAAGAGCAUGCAAACGCAAAUACAGAAGUCAUAUAAAAGAAGACACGUUGUUUCGUGAACAUUACUCAUCAAUUAUUAACAAUUGAAAAAUAGAAUACAUCAUGGCCGCGUAAUUCUUUCAUGUCAUGACACUCGGAAAACACAAUAUUUAAUUGAACCCAAAAAAGAUGUAAAAAUUGCACCGAUUCAAAUGUCCUUUUGACGUGAAGGUUAUCGAAGAGUACACGAAAUUAUCCAUCAAUAGUCCAUCAAGUGAAUCAUUUCCAUAUGUGAACAAACUUGAUCUUUGAUAACAAAGGCUGCACGUUUUUUUAACGCAAAUAUAAUCCAGAAACAGGAAGAGUUCAAAUGCGUCCAAUCCAGUAACUAUACUAAUACGAACUUACUUAGUUGUACGUUUGUAUGUCUAUACUGUAACUGCGAGAUCGAAAUUAUUCGGAUGAUAUAAGCAUUGUUAUCAACAACGUCGUGACCGUAACCUCUAAUUCUAUUGUGAUAUCCUUGCUUCGUGUUCUAUUUAGAAUUGUACCGUUAAACGGUCAGUGUUUCAUUCGAACACGUAAAGUGGAGAAUGUCUAUUUUCGCACGAAUAAAUCUCUACAUAAAAUCACAGAAGACAAUUCAUCAUCGUCUACAUGUUCUCGACGCUAAUCAUCCAAUCGAAAAUAUAAAUUGCAAUUACAUGUCUCAUUACUAGAACAUUAUCGACACAAUGAAACGUUGAUAAAAGACGCAUAAAUUCGACACAAAUGAUUUCUUACAUCGAAGAUACAAAAGUUCGAAAGAAAUAUUAAUCGGUAACUUCCAACCAGAAAAGCCUAAUCCCGCAUUUGAAAACUAUUAAAAAAUCAAUUUAAUACGAUCAUGUAUCGUGCCGUUGAACUUUUCUCGUACACAUAAUAAGGUAAAUAAAUUCAGUAACGUGCAGUUUUCAUUCAUGUAUAUUCUAAUUUAAUACUCCGUAUUUAAAGUUAAGAGUUUUAUUUCAUUAGUUAAUAUACCAAAUAUCUACUAAUAAAUUUGAAUAUUGCUCAUUUGACAUACGAGUGAAACUUAAAGAAAGUAGAACAUUGACAACGUUCAUACAGUGAGUCACAUAAAUCCUCGACUUCCUCAUCUGCUGAUUUCAAACUGACCUAAUACAUUUUUAGACCAUAAGUUUGCGGUAUACGUAUCAAUAAAUAUAUUAACCGCAUUAAUUAACCUUCUUUUAAAAGUAACAAUUCAGUAAAGAAUUGAUAACAUUUUUCAUAUUAAAAUAUCGACAGUCUCUAAAGCUAGCAAUUGGGAUGAUUACUUCUGUGACUCACUAUAUGUAAAUACGUUCCACGAAAUUUUUGCAGCUUCAAACCUGUCGAAUUGCAAAAAAAAUGCUGGUUUACUUUCGACAAGUUGCUCGCAGUCUUCGUUACAGUGUAAAAAUUGAGUCGCAAUCUCAACUAAGAAACAAAAAGAGAUACUGCCAAAAAGAAGAAAGGUUGAAGGACGCCCACGUAACGAUGAUAAAUAUAUUUACGAUCUUCUGUGGUGAUCACCUCAUUUUAUCAUGACCUACAGUGAUGAACGAAACCAAUUUGACCAAGUACCAACUUAACUUUUUAAAUAUUUUUUAGACGAAGAACGUACAAAAAUUUUUGAUUCGUUACUCGCAGAAUAAAAAUCAAAGUUCGAAUUAUAAAAUAAAACACUGCACAGUGAACAAAUAAAAAUUUAAUUGUUAAAUCCAAUAAAUGUCACGAAUAAAUCGCUAUACGUAGAUUUUAUGUCAUCUGCUAUCCAAAUAAAAUGUCCAAGUGACAUUUUAGGUUAAGGAUAAAUGAAUUCUGAAUGAUAAAAUAAUGUAAACUUUCUUCGCAGAUUUAACACUUUGUAAUUGAUGAUUUGUUUCCCCAACAUUUAUCUAUCACUGCACAUGCACGAUCCAAGGUAAAUGUCGUUGAUAUCUAGUAGACGGAAUGAAUCGGUUUUUCUAAUGACGUCGAGGCUCACGAUUGGCUGAUUACUAAAUUUUGCACGAACAUACGAUCCGGGAUGAUUAAAAUGCACCAAUCGACAAUUGCGUACCUUUCUCUAAACAAAUCUGAGUCACAAUUCAACUAAUGUGAUAUAUUGAAUAUAUCCAUUAAAUCCCAUAAGUCAAAGCAUACACAAUUUUGUUUAAAAAAUUGCAACAUUCAUGAUGUCAAAGAUAUCAACGUCGAUUCGUUGAAAAGUGGGAUACAACCCGUUAUCGGUGAUCAUGCCACAUCGGAAUUCGCUGGCUAUUUUGAAAUCACUCCGCUGCUUUUUCUGGUGAUUAUUUAUAUACUUUUUACUUAGAGUAAUAACAAAAAAAUGGCAUUAUAAAUUCAACAAAAUAUAAUUAUCGAAUUAACUUAUUCGCCAAAGAAAAAUUCGUCGAAUAAUUAAAUUCGACGAACCUAGAAAUAUUUCCGCGAAAUUAUUUCUGGUGGAAUCUUAAAGAGGGCGUGCACAAUUGAAUUUUUCACGCGGACAAAUUAUU